UGCAAAUCCAGUCAAAAGUUA
rnacentral:miRNA from 1 species